CCCUUAGAUGUUCUGGGCAGCACGCGCGCUACAAUGGUCUUCGCAAACGGAUGCAUUCUCGAAGGAGAAUGCCAAUCUUGGAAUCUAUGCCUUGGUCGGGACAGUUGCUUGCAAUUUUUCGACUCGAACCAGGAAUUCCUUGUAAUCGUGAUUCAUCACAUCACGAUGAAUACGUCCCUGUCCUUUGUACACACCGCCCGUCGCUCCUACCGAUCGAAGAGUUAGGUGAAUUGUUUUGAUCGAUAAGAUUUGACUAUGGUCAACUCUCGUUGUGAAAUUCUGUGAAUCUGACUGUUUAGAGGAGGGAAAAGUCGUAACA
rnacentral:rRNA from 1 species